ACUGCUCAGUAACACGUGGACAACCUGCCCUUAGGUUGGGUAUAAACCCGGGAAACUGGGUAUAAUACCCGAUAGGUCUCGAUUGCUGGAAUGCAUCGAGAUUUAAAGCUCCGGCGCCUAAGGAUGGGUCUGCGGCCUAUCAGGUAGUAGUGGGUGUAGCGUACCUACUAGCCUACGACGGGUACGGGUUGUGAGAGCAAGAGCCCGGAGAUGGAUUCUGAGACACGAAUCCAGGCCCUACGGGGUGCAGCAGGCGCGAAAACUUUACAAUGCUGGCAACAGCGAUAAGGGAACCUCGAGUGCCAGGUUACAAAUCCGGCUGUCGAGAUGCCUAAAAAGCAUUUCAUAGCAAGGGCCGGGCAAGACCGGUGCCAGCCGCCGCGGUAACACCGGCGGCUCGAGUGGUAACCGUUAUUAUUGGGUCUAAAGGGUCUGUAGCCGGCCGGAUAAGUCUCUUGAGAAAUCUGGCAGCUUAACUGUCAGGCUUUCAGGAGAUACUGUCUGGCUCGAGGCCGGGAGAGGUGAGAGGUACUUCAGGGGUAGGGGUGAAAUCUUGUAAUCCUUGGAGGACCACCAGUGGCGAAGGCGUCUCACCAGAACGGACCUGACGGCAAGGGACGAAAGCUAGGGGCACGAACCGGAUUAGAUACCCGGGUAGUCCUAGCCGUAAACGAUACUCGCUAGGUGUCGGCCACGGUGCGACCGUUGUCGGUGCCGUAGGGAAGCCGUGAAGCGAGCCACCUGGGAAGUACGGCCGCAAGGCUGAAACUUAAAGGAAUUGGCGGGGGAGCAC
rnacentral:rRNA from 1 species